rnacentral:rRNA from 1 species
AAUGAACGUUGGCGGCGUGGAUUAGGCAUGCAAGUCGUGCGAUAACCCCGCAAGGGGGGAAAGCGGCGAAAGGGAGAGUAACGCGUGGGUACCUGCCCCUUGGUCCGGAAUAGCUGCGGGAAACUGCAGGUAAUGCCGGAUAAUAUCCUCGGAUCAAAGGUGUGAUUCCGCCGAGGGAGGGGCCCGCGUUCUAUUAGCUAGUUGGUAGGGUAUGGCCUACCAAGGCGACGAUGGAUACCGGGUGUGAGAGCAUGACCCGGCUCACUGGGACUGAGACACUGCCCAGACACCUACGGGUGUCUGCAGUCGAGAAUCUUCGGCAAUGGGCGCAAGCCUGACCGAGCGACGCCGCGUGCGGGAUGAAGGCCUUCGGGUUGUAAACCGCUGUCGUAGAGGAGGAAAUGCCAUGGGGUUCUCUCCAUGGUUUGACCUAUUCUAGGAGGAAGGACGGGCUAAGUUCGUGCCAGCCGCCGCGGUAA